rnacentral:rRNA from 1 species
GCCUGAUGGAGCAACGCCGCGUGAGUGAAGAAGGAUUUCGGUUCGUAAAACUCUGUUGUAAGGGAAGAACAAGUACAGUAGUAACUGGCUGUACCUUGACGGUACCUUAUUAGAAAGCCACGGCUAACUACGUGCCAGCAGCCGCGGUAAUACGUAGGUGGCAAGCGUUGUCCGGAAUAAUUGGGCGUAAAGCGCGCGCAGGUGGUUUCUUAAGUCUGAUGUGAAAGCCCACGGCUCAACCGUGGAGGGUCAUUGGAAACUGGGAGACUUGAGUGCAGAAGAGGAUAGUGGAAUUCCAAGUGUAGCGGUGAAAUGCGUAGAGAUUUGGAGGAACACCAGUGGCGAAGGCGACUAUCUGGUCUGUAACUGACACUGAGGCGCGAAAGCGUGGGGAGCAAACAGGAUUAGAUACCCUGGUAGUCCACGCCGUAAACGAUGAGUGCUAAGUGUUAGGGGGUUUCCGCCCCUUAGUGCUGCAGCUAACGCAUUAAGCACUCCGCCUGGGGAGUACGGGUCGCAAGACUGAAACUCAAAGGAAUUG